rnacentral:lncRNA from 1 species
CGUGUGCAUGCUGCUGAGAACGUCCCCAUGCAGAGACACAGCUGCUCACGUAGGAGAGAAGACAGAUCACAAGUAGGCAGAGAGGCAGGCAGAGAGAGAGAGAGGAGGAAGCAGGCUGCCUGCCGAGCAGAGAGCCCAAUGCAGGGCUUGAUCCCAGGAUCCGGAGAUCA